rnacentral:rRNA from 1 species
CAAGUCGGACGCUGCUGAUUGUCCUUCGGGAUGGUCAGCGGAGUGGCGCACGGGUGAGUAACACGUAGGUAAUCUGCCUUCGGGUGGGGAAUAACUCAGGGAAACUUGAGCUAAUACCGCAUAAUGCAGCGGCACCACAUGGUGACAGUUGUUAAAGCGGGGGAUCAUUCGACCUCGCGCCUGAAGAGGAGCCUGCGGCGGAUUAGGUAGUUGGUGAGGUAAUGGCUCACCAAGCCUGCGAUCCGUAGCCGGCCUGAGAGGGCGGUCGGCCACACUGACACUGACAUACGGGUCAGACUCCUACGGGAGGCAGCAGUCGGGAAUUUUGGGCAAUGGGCGCAAGCCUGACCCAGCAACGCCGCGUGAAGGAUGAAGUUUUUCGGAAUGUAAACUUCACAAGAAUGGGACGAAGAGAGAAGGGCUAACAUCCCUUUGAUUUGACGGUACCAUUUGUAAGCUCCGGCUAACUCCGUGCCAGCAGCCGCGGUAGUACGGGGGGAGCAAGCGUUGUUCGGAUUUACUGGGCGUAAAGGGCGCGUAGGCGGCACGACAAGUCGCUUGUGAAAUCUCCGGGCUUAACUCGGAGCGGCCAAGCGAUACUGUCGCGCUAGAGUGCGGAAGGGGCAACUGGAAUUCUCGGUGUAGCGGUGAAAUGCGUAGAUAUCGAGAGGAACACCUGCGGCGAAGGCGGGUUGCUGGGCCGACACUGACGCUGAUGCGCGAAAGCUAGGGGAGCGAACGGGAUUAGAUACCCCGGUAGUCCUAGCCUUAAACGAUGGAUGCUUGGUGUCCGAGGUUUUAUAGUCCUCGGG